AGCAGCGUGGGUCAGUGGAAAGACCUCAGGCUUGAAAGUCAGAGGUCAUGGGUUCUAAUCCCAGCUCUGCCA
rnacentral:tRNA from 1 species